rnacentral:lncRNA from 1 species
UGUUUUCUCUUUAAAUGCGAUCGGACGGAUGGAAUUGAUCAUGAUGGAUGGUCUUGAUUCGCACACGUGAUCGACCUAAAUAGGCAAUGAUCAGAUGGUUCUCCUCGCUCCACAUCGACUUGAACGGAUGGCUUAUAUCGAAUAGAGAUGAGUAUUUAAACUCCUCUUCACAAGGAACCAAAAUCCUAGCUAACAGAAGGGUGACUGGAGAAGGAAAAGAAGGGUGACUGGGAAGUGAACCAGAUGCUGGAGAAGGAGAUCGACCACCGUUGUCGCUGCACUAGAGCCACCACCGACAUUGAAAAGGUAAG